GGGAAUAUGGCUCAGUGGUAGAGUGCUUUCCUAACAUGCAGAAGGCCCUGGGUUCAAUCCCCAGCACUGCCA
rnacentral:tRNA from 1 species